AUUGAACGCUGGCGGCAUGCUUUACACAUGCAAGUCGAACGGUAACAGGCCUUCGGGUGCUGACGAGUGGCGAACGGGUGAGUAAUGCAUCGGAACGUACCCAGAGGUGGGGGAUAACGCAGCGAAAGCUGUGCUAAUACCGCAUGUGAUCUGAGGAUGAAAGCGGGGGACCGAGCAGCAAUGUUUGGCCUCGCGCCUUUGGAGCGGCCGAUGUCGGAUUAGCUAGUUGGGGGGGUAAAGGCCUACCAAGGCGACGAUCCGUAGCUGGUCUGAGAGGACGACCAGCCACACUGGGACUGAGACACGGCCCAGACUCCUACGGGAGGCAGCAGUGGGGAAUUUUGGACAAUGGGCGAAAGCCUGAUCCAGCAAUGCCGCGUGCGGGAAGAAGGCCUUCGGGUUGUAAACCGCUUUUGGCAGGAACGAAACGGUGUCCGCUAAUACCGGGCGCUAAUGACGGUACCUGCAGAAUAAGCACCGGCUAACUACGUG
rnacentral:rRNA from 1 species